GCCCAGAUGGUCUAGUAGUAUCAUUCUCGCUCUAUAAGUUUCCAUUGCGAGACGUCCCCAGUUCAAAUCCGGGUUCGAGCC